AACAAAGGCGGAGAUUGGUCUCAACCCAUGGGAGUGAGGGGGGGUGAAGAAGCAUAAAAGACGAUUCUCAACUGGACAUCAUUAAGAUCUCCCCACCAGAGGAUCCCGAAUCACGACAGAGGGCCGGCAGGACUCUACGGGACCGGAGACCAGAAGGACGCCUUUGAGAGUCAUUUGGUGCAACCAGGGGAAAAGAGGAAGGCAGCGGCAGCAGGGACCGAGCAUCGUGCAGAGGAAAGCCCUGCAGCCACUCCAGUUCCAGCCCCACUCAUGGUUCCUUCAUCCUCUACAGCACCAUGAAGGUCCCUGCAGCUGCUCUGGUCACUUUGCUCCUCUUGGUCAUCUGCUCCCCGGCAGAGGUCCAACUCAAUGACAACUUCUUCAUGACCUGUUGCUUCAACUACGCGAGCCGUGCCGUCCCACGCAGUGUCAUUGUCUCCAUUAAAAACACCGAUAGCCGCUGCCGCAAGCCGGCAGUGAUCAUGGUCACCAAAAAGGGGAGGCACAUAUGUGCAGACCCCCAGGCAUCCUGGGUGCAGGCACUUCAGCGGGACUUCCAGAAGCGGUAGGCUCAGCCUCCAGCAUCAGACACAAAACAGAGUGCUUGAGCAGCAUCCUUCAACAGGAAGAUUUAUUCUACUUGUUUGUUACAAAAGUGAAAAUAAAAAAAUUAUUUAAGAGAUAUCAGCAUGCCUGUUAAUGUGGAGUUUUAAUUCCUAAAUAAAGUAUUUGGAUUAUCAAA